UACGAAGGUGGCAAGCGUUGUUCGGAUUCACUGGGCGUACAGGGUGUGUAGGCGGUUUGGUAAGCCUUCUGUUAAAGCUUCGGGCCCAACCCGGAAAGCGCAGAGGGUACUGCCAGGCUAGAGGACGGGAGAGGAGCGCGGAAUUCCCGGUGUAGCGGUGAAAUGCGUAGAGAUCGGGAGGAAGGCCGGUGGCGAAGGCGGCGCUCUGGAACGUUACUGACGCUGAGACACGAAAGCGUGGGGAGCAAACAGGG
rnacentral:rRNA from 1 species